rnacentral:rRNA from 1 species
UUAAGAAUCUUGCGCAAUGGGGGCAACCCUGACGCAGCGACGCCGCGUGGAUGAUGAAGGCCUUCGGGUUGUAAAGUCCGGUAAGCAGGGAAGAAUAAGCAACGGGAAAUAUUCGUUGUGAUGACGGUACCUGCCUAAAGCCCCGGCUAACUACGUGCCAGCAGCCGCGGUAAUACGUCUGGGGCGAGCGUUGUUCGGAAUUAUUCGGCGUAAAGGGCGUCUAGGCGGGGGAUUAAGUUAGAUGUGAAAGCUAUGGGCGCAACCCAUAAAUUGCAUCUAAGACUGGUUCUCUUGAGUUCGGGAGAGGAGAGCGGAAGUCCAGGUGUAGCGGUGAAAUGCGUAGAUAUCUGGAAGAACACCAGUGGCGAAGGCGGCUCUCUGGCCUAGGACUGACGCUGAAGCACGAAAGCGUGGGGAGCGAACA